rnacentral:lncRNA from 1 species
CUCGGUUGGGUUCUGCGCUGGGUUCUGGCUGGCCUCCUCCUGCGUGGCCUCCUCCUGCCUGGCUUGCCUUUGAUCCUGCCCGUUUUCUGAACCCAGUUCUCCAGGCUUCCCCGAUAGUUUGAGUUCAGUGCACAGUCUCUGCUUGAAUCAGCCAGGUUCUGCAGGGUUGGUGACGGCAUUGGACCUUCCAGAUUUCCCAGUGAAACUCAACUCACGUGUUUGCUGUUGGUGCCGUCAUGUCUACGUUGACGCCGUUUCCUUAAUGGAACCAUGCCCUGGAAUCACCGUCGUUGGGCCAAAGUGCCCCACUGCAAACAAGGACAGGCUUGACCAGAGUGCCCAGGCGUGGAGGGGGCAGCCUGGGUCACCCACACUAGUGGUGUAG